ensembl:snRNA U6 U6 spliceosomal RNA
GGGUUCACUUGAGCAGCACAUACACUAAAAUUGGAACAAUACAGAGAAGAUUAGCAUGGCCUCUGUUCAAGGAUGACAGAAUUCUUGAAGCAAUUUUUAAAAAUAAU